rnacentral:rRNA from 1 species
AUUGAACGCUGGCGGCAGGCCUAACACAUGCAAGUCGAACGAGUGGCGGACGGGUGAGUAAUGUCUGGGAAACUGCCCGAUGGAGGGGGAUAACUACUGGAAACGGUAGCUAAUACCGCAUACAAUCGGAUGUGCCCCGCUGGGAUUAGCUUGAAGGGGAGGUACCGGCUAACCUAGGCGACGACCCCUAGCGGGUCUGAGAGGAGGACCAGCCACACUGGAACUGAGACACGGUCCAGACUCCUACGGGAGGCAGCAGUGGGGAAUAUUGCACAAUGGGCGCAAGCCUGAUGCAGCCAUGGCGCGUGUAUGAAGAAGGCCUUCGGGUUGUAAAGUACUUUCAGCGGGGAGGCGUUACCCGAAGAAGAAGCACCGGCUAACUCCGUGCCAGCAGCCGCGGUAAUUC